CUCAAAUGUUCUGGAAAGUUUUUUUUGUCCUUUCUUUUAAGAGACUGGGUUUCACUAUGCUGUCCAGCUGGUCUCUGAACUCCUGGGCUCAAAGCAUCCUCCUACCUCAGCUACUCGGGUAGCUGGGUUUAUAGGUAUGAGCCCCCUCACCUGGCGUCCUAUUUUUCACUGCCUCUUGACAAAGCAACCAAGUUCGACACAGUAUUUAUAAGGGAAAAGGAGUCAUUCAUGCUCUUUCUGCCUGAAGGCAAGAGCAACUCCACCCUACCAGCAGGUGCAGCAGCAACGGCCUUUACUAGUGUCUCCACGCCUGCCUCCAGCAUCUAG
rnacentral:lncRNA from 1 species